CCCUUAGAUGUUCUGGGCCGCACGCGCGCUACACUGACUACUUCAACGAGUUGUUUCCUUGAUCGAAAGGUCUGGGUAAUCUUUGAAAGGUAGUCGUGAUGGGGAUAGAUCCUUGCAAUUUUUGAUCUUCAACGAGGAAUUCCUAGUAAACGCAAGUCAUCAGCUUGCAUUGAUUACGUCCCUGCCCUUUGUACACACCGCCCGUCACACCUACCGAUUGAAUGGUCCGGUGAAUCUUUAGGACUGUGGCUGAGGCCUUGCCUUGUGCGGGUCUGGCCGUGGGAAUUUAGUUAAACCUUACCAUUUAGAGGAAGGUGAAGUCGUAACA
rnacentral:rRNA from 1 species